UGGGUCCGCGCCCAGGUCCAGCAGCAGCAGGCGAGGCGGAGCGGCGUGGACGCCAGCGUCGUCGUCGCGUGGAGGGAACCCCGUGGCGGCGAGGAGAGGGGUGAGGGAGGGAGUACGUGGAGGCGGCGCGGGAGAUGGUGCGGCGGCGGCCGGACGGCGGGCCAGCGAGGUGGUUCUCGCCGCUCGAGUGCGGCCGGCGGCGACGACGACGAUGGACGGAGCCUGCCCGGCGCUCCCACGAUGUUCUUCUUGCCCGGAACUGAUGGAGUUGGUUUAGGACUGAUCCGGCACCAUGAGAGAUUAGCAAAGAUGUUCGAUAUGUGGUGCUUAUAUACCUGUUGAAGAUCGUACGUCCUUUGAAGGACAAGUUGGGUAUGUGGAGAGGGCAGUGAAAUCAGAGGGCCAGAGAGCAAGAGACAGGCCAGUCUAUCUUGUUGGAGAAUCUGUUGGCGCAUGCAUUGCUCUUGCUGUGGCAGCGCGAAAUCCAUAUAUCGAUUUGGUAUUGAUCCUAGUCAACCCAGGUCUUGCUGCCAUUGGCCAAAAUUUUCUUCUGUCUUGCUCUGUUUCUCUUCUUUCAGCGAACAAAUGUUCAGUAAUUCAUCUUCUUCCAGAAGUCCCAGCUGCAGUCCCUGAACCAUUCCAUUUAACCACACCGCAGAUGCUGAAUUUCCUGACAGGUUUGAUUCACUUAUAUAAGGGGACAUUUAUGACGAUGGAUAGAUUUUUUGAUUUUACUCAGCUGGUGAAGAAAUAUCAUUUCAUGUUUAGCUCACUUUUCUUCAUUUGAAACUUUAUGAAGUAAACUCAUUUGACAUAAAAGUAGUUAUUAUCUACUA